rnacentral:hammerhead_ribozyme from 1 species
AUCCAGCUGACGAGUCCCAAAUAAGACGAAAUGCACAUCCUGGAU